rnacentral:lncRNA from 1 species
AUGACCUCUGACCCCAAAGCCCAGGCUCUUUCCACUGAGCCACGCUGCUUCUCGAAUAAUCUCUCUCCCUGGGAUUAUUAUUAUUAUGAUGAUGAUGGGAUUAUUAUGAUGAUGAUGAUGAUGGGGGGGCAUUUGCGCGCAUGCGCGCGCUCGAGCACCGGCCGGGCCGCGCAGGCGCACCGAGUCGUCCCUCCUCUCCCCUCCAAAAGGGACCGCGCAGGCGCGCUGAGUCCCUCCGCCUCUCUUUGCUCCCAGUGGGGCCGCGCAAGCGCACCUCGUCCCUCCUCCUCUUCUCCCCAAGUGGGGCCGCGCAGGCGCGCCUCCUCCCUCCGCCUCUCCUUCUCUCUCCCAAGCGGGGCCGCGCAGGCGCGCCUCCUCCCUCCUCCUCUCCUCCCCCGCAAGCGGGGCCGCGCAGGCGCGCCUCCUCCCUCCGCCUCUCCUCUCUCCCCCCCCCGGUGGGGCCGCGCAGGCGCACCUCGUCCCUCCUCCUCUUUCCCCAAGCCGGACCGCGCAGGCGCGCCUCCUCCCUCCGCCUCUCCUCUCCCCCAAGUGGGGCCGCGCAGGCGCGCCUCGUCCCUCCUCCCGUCCCUCCCAACGGUACCGCGCAUACGCGCCGAGUCCCUCCUCCGCUCCCCAAGCCGGACCGCGCAGGCGCACCUCCUCCCUCCGCCUCUCCCCGAAAUGGGGCCGCGCAGGCGCGCCUCGUCCCUCCUCCCGUCCCUCCAAGCGGGACCGCGCAUGCGCGCCGAAUCCCUUCGCCUCUCCUCUCCCCCUCAGCGGGGCCGCGCAGGCGCACUUCGUCCCCCCUCCUCGCCCCGAGCGGAGCCGCGCAGGCGCAUCUCGUCCCUCCUCCUCUCCCCCGGCUCUCGUGCGCGGACGAAAUCUCGCGAGAGCAGGGAGGGGGCGGAGGAGAGGGAGGAGGCGGCGGCGGCGGCGGGGAAGGACCGGCCCGUUGCCGUGGUUGCCUCAGCGGCGGCCGAGGGACGACCAGGAAAACGGCGGCGGCGGGAGGGAGCGGAUGCUGACAGGACGGUGGUGUUGGCGCUCCCGGUAAUGGCGGCGGGCCUGUAG